GACGGAGGAUGCAAGUGUUAUCCGGAAUCACUGGGCGUAAAGCGUCUGUAGGUGGUCAAAUAAGUCAACUGUUAAAUCUUGAGGCUCAACCUCAAAACCGCAGUCGAAACUAUUAGACUAGAGUAUAGUAGGGGUAAGGGGAAUUUCCAGUGGAGCGGUGAAAUGCGUAGAGAUUGGAAAGAACACCGAUGGCGAAGGCACUUUACUGGGCUAUGACUAACACUCAGGGACGAAAGCUAGGGUAGCAAAUGGG
rnacentral:rRNA from 1 species